GAUCAUUAGUGAAUUGCCGACUAAUGCGUCAGCAUUAGGAGGUUUUACAUUAUCUACCUCGUGAACCGUGGCUUCGGCCUACACACAUCAGUAAUGAAUGUUACAUAUAAUAACAAAAACAAAACUUUCAACAACGGAUCCCUUGGCUCUCGCAUCGAUGAAGAACGCAGCGAAAUGCGAUAAGUAAUGUGAAUUGCAGAAUUCAGUGAAUCAUCGAGUUUUUGAACGCACCUUGCGCCCUUUGGUAUUCCGAAGGGCAUGCCAGUCUGAGUGUCAUGAUCACCUCAACCCAAAGGUUUCUUUGGAGUUUGGAUUUGGGUCUGUCCUUUGUGGGCUCUCCUUAAAAGCAUUAGCAAACGGGUGUAAUAAGUUUCGCCCCGGCGCUUCCAACUAUUCUCUAGAAUAGACCUCAGAUCAGGUAGGAUUACCCGCUGAACUUAAGCAUAUCAAUAAGCGGAGGAAGAGAAACUAACAAGGAUUCCCCUAGUAACGGCGAGUGAAGCGGGAAAAGCUCAAAUUUGUAAUCUGGCUUGUCUACAAGUCCGAGUUGUAAUCUAUAGAAUCAUUUUCCGUGCCGGUCCGUGUCCAAGUCCCUUGGAACAGGGUAUCAAAGAGGGUGACAAUCCCGUGCUUGACACGACCGCCGGUGCAAUGUGAUAUGAUUUCUACGAGUCGAGUUGUUUGGGAAUGCAGCUCUAAAUGGGUGGUAAAUUCCAUCUAAGGCUAAAUAUUGGCGAGAGACCGAUAGCAAACAAGUACCGUGAGGGGAAGAUGAAAAGCACUUUGGAAAGAGGGUUAAACAGUACGUGAAAUUGUUGAAAGGGAAGCGUUUGCAAUCAGACUUGCACGUUGCCGAUCAUCUGGUGUUCUCACCAGUGCACUCGGUUUCGUUCAGGCCAGCAUCGGUUUGGGUGGUUGGAUAAAGGCCUUGGGAAUGUGGCUCCUUUCGGGGAGUGUUAUAGUCCUCGGUGCAAUGCAAGCCUACCUGGACCGAG
rnacentral:rRNA from 1 species